CGGUUAAGUUAGAAAGGGCGCACGGUGGAUGCCUUGGCACUAGGAGCCGAUGAAGGACGGGACUAACCCGAUAUGC
rnacentral:rRNA from 1 species